rnacentral:rRNA from 1 species
CCUACGGGUGGCUGCAGUGGGGAAUAUUGGACAAUGGGCGAAAGCCUGAUCCAGCCAUGCCGCGUGUGUGAAGAAGGCCUUCGGGUUGUAAAGCACUUUCAGUGGGGAAGAAAGCCUUGGGGCUAAUACCCUCGAGGAAGGACAUCACCCACAGAAGAAGCACCGGCUAACUCCGUGCCAGCAGCCGCGGUAAUACGGGGGGUGCGAGCGUUAAUCGGAAUUACUGGGCGUAAAGCGCGCGUAGGCGGUCUGAUAAGCCGGUUGUGAAAGCCCCGGGCUCAACCUGGGAACGGCAUCCGGAACUGUCAGGGUAGAGUGCAGGAGAGGAAGGUAGAAUUCCCGGUGUAGCGGUGAAAUGCGUAGAGAUCGGGAGGAAUACCAGUGGCGAAGGCGGCCUUCUGGACUGACACUGACGCUGAGGUGCGAAAGCGUGGGUAGCAAACAGGAUUAGAUCCCUUGUAGUC